UUUAAGGUCUAACCUGCCCAAUGAUAAUAUUUAAUGGCCGCAGUAAUUUGACUGUGCAAAGGUAGCAUAAUCAUUAGUUUUUUAAUUGAAAGCUGGAAUGAAUGGUUGGACGAGAAAAAUUCUGUCUCAAGUUAAUUUUAAUUAGAAUUUUAUUUUUAAGUUAAAAAGCUUAAAUAAAUUUAAAAGACGAGAAGACCCUAUAGAGUUUAAUAUUUUACAAAAUUUUAUUUUUUAUGAAUUUAUUUUUAAAAAUUUUUUAAAGUAUUUUGUUGGGGUGAUAGUAAAAUUAAUUUAACUUUUAUUUUUUUUUUCAUUAAUUUAUGUUUAAUUGAUCCACUAUUAUGUGAUUAUAAGAUUAAAUUACCUUAGGGAUAACAGCGUUAUUUUGUUUGAGAGUUCUUAUCGAAAAUAAAGUUUGCGACCUCGAUGUUGGAUUAAAAUUAACUUUUGGUGCAGGAGCUAAAAAGUUAGGUCUGUUCGACCUUUAAAAUUUUACAUGAUCUGAGUUUAAACCGGUGUGAGCCAGGUUGGUUUCUAUCUUUAAAUUUAAAGCAUUCUUUAGUACGAAAGGAAUUGGUAUGUAUAAUAUUUAUUAAAGUUUGACUAUUAUUA
rnacentral:rRNA from 1 species